rnacentral:rRNA from 1 species
AUGAUUAUUACUCCGCAGAAUCAGUCUAUUUUAACAAAGGUUUCUGAACUAGUUAAUCCUAUUACCCAAACGUGGGAUGAGCAAUUGCUUCAAGACCAUUUUAACCCCGUGGAUGUUCGAAGGAUCUUACACAUACCCUUACACCUUCAAGCAUUUGAUGAUUUUGUCGCCUGGCAUCCGAAUAAAAACAGAAUCUUUUCUGUGAAAACUGCAUAUCAUAUUGAGUGGAUACACAAAUAUGGGGGCCAUGCAACUGCCCUGGGCAGACCGGGAAGCUCUACGACUCCGGCAGUGUGGUCUAUGCUAUGGAAUCUUCAAGUCCCACGUAAAGUUCAAAUAUUUUGCUGGAGAAUUCUGCACGGAAUUGUACCAUUAAUGUCUGUACUCGCUAAUAGACACAUCCCGGUGAGUGGAGAAUGCCCAAUCUGUCACGUUGGACCAGAGGAUGUGCGCCAUCUGCUUUUUGAAUGCAUUCCAGCGAGAGAAUUGUGGGAGAAAUUAGGCGUUUUGGACUCUAUCAGAUCGGCCCUUCACGUGGAUCGCUCGGGAUCAAUAGUUCUGGAACACUUGCUAAACUUACCAACCACUCUGUUUCACCUCAUGCCUACUAUUCAAAGUAUUGACGUCAUAGCAGUGGGAUAUUGGUAUUUGUGGUGGAUCCGUAGGCAGGUCACACAUAAUGAGACAAUUCCGCCUCCCAAUAGAUGGCCCAUUUCAGUGAUGGCAAUUACAUGCGGGUAUAACAAAGUGUCGAACCAAAAUAGGGAGGACACGGAGCAUAGAUGGAAGAGGCCAGACCCAAAGUUUGUUAAAGUAAAUGUUGACGCUGCUUUUUAUCAAGAUGCAGGUGCAGGAGCAACGGCCGCUAUAAUCAGAGACGAGAAGGGGCAAUUUCUAGCUGCUCAAUGCAAAUACAAUGAUUGUGCUUCAGAUGUUACCGCUAUGGAGGCUAGGGCCAUGCGAGAUGGCCUUCAAUUUGCAAAUUCAUUAGGCUUUAAUCGGGUUGAGGCUGAAUCAGACUCCCUUGAAGUCAUUCAGUUCUGCACAGGACAAACACAGUGGUGGGAUGCAUCGGCAGCAGUCUUUGUGGAGUGUCUGGAUACUGUUACAUCAAUUGGGAGGGUCACCUUCAAGCAUUGUUUUCGUGCGGCGAAUACCGCACCUCAUGAGCUAGCUAGCUAA